rnacentral:lncRNA from 1 species
CUGUUGCAGACAAUACUUUCCCAAUCACAACAGUGGGCGUCAGCUUUUAUCCAGGAGGGAAGGGAAGUGCCAUUGGGAUAGUUAAGAGAAUCUUUGAGGUGCAACAGAGCGAUCCUCUCUUCCUCCAAGCAACCAAGAGGCAGCCAUCCUUGCAGCGAAACCGUUAUCACUAACACCGUGAACACCUGAAGGAACAGCCCCAUCUUAAUAUAUAUCAACUAUUACAAUAUUAAUUGUUGCGAAUGGCAGCGAGGAGGUUAAGGCUUUUAUAGAGGACUUCACGGACCCAUGCCGUGCAAAAAACUGCAUGAUGGCAACGGACACUUAGCAGCCACAUAAGUAAGAAGCUUCAUUUUUUUGGUUUUUUUAAAAAAUCCACAUCAUAGUCGCAUCCUCUCUCUCUUGUUUUUUCUUAAUUUUUCAAAUGGCCGAAAUCCUAUUAAUAAUUUUUUCCAACUCAAAUUCAAGCCCUCCUGACCAAAUAUUUGUGCCUUUACUAACUCUUCAACAUUAACUAAAAAAAAUGUUCAACAUUCUAAUUUGAUGAACAUUUUCCAUUUUAAUUUUAACAAGGUUCAAUUUGAAUUUUUUUCCUACUGAACACAAAAUUUUUAAUAUAGUUCUCCUAUGAACACUAUUUUUUUUAGUUUUAACAAACUAAAAGGUUGUUUGAAAAUAAAUCUGAAAUCGUGUUUUUUUUUAAUAAUUUUUUUGUUUAAAAUAAAUUUUUUAUGUUUUUUUUAUUGUUCUGUUAUGAUAUGUUAAUGUUAAAAAUAAUUUUAAAAAAAUAUUUUGAAAACAACUUUUUUAUUUUAUUUUAAUACAUAAUUCACAAUAUCUGAAUUGAUUCAUUUAACAUUUAUCUUUAAUAUAUAUAAUCUCUUUGUUUUUUUUUAUAAUACUCUUAAUCUGAAUAUCUUCUAGGAAAAAAAAGCAUGAUGGCAAUAGUCCAACGGACCCAACUCCUGGAAAAAAUGCAUGAUGACAUCAUCCAACGGACCCAUCUCGUGGAAAAAAAAGAAGAAGCAGGAUGCCAUAGGACGGCAGUGUCCUCUUCAUCACAUUUGUUUUCAUUUUGAUACUAACCUAUUUGUUUUAUGUUUGAAAAGUAUUUAAAAAAAUAAUUUUUUAUUUUAAAUAAUUUUUUUAGUAUUUUCAGAUUAUUUUAAUAUGUUGAUGUCAAAAAUAAUUUAAAAAAAUAAAAAAAUAUUAUUUUAAUACAUUUCCAAACGAAAAAUACUUUAAAAACCAUCGAUUACCACACUUCAAACACCCCUUAAAUGUUGCUCGAGUUGAUUUUUUUUCCUUGUCAAGACUUUACUAUUCAUCCUUUUGUAUAUUAUUAUAGAUGAACUAUUUAAAAAUUUAUGUUUUUUAAUUUGUUCCUCAAUUUUUUUUUAAUAAUUUAGUUCUAAUUAAACUCUAGUUGUUCUAAUUUCUUUUGAAAAGAUAGGAUUACAAUAAGAGGGACUGAAAUAAAAAAAAAAAACACCAAAUAUGAGUGUAAUGCCAUAAGUUUUGUAAAGGAUGCAUUUUGAUUUUUAAACUUUAAAAAUCACAUGAAUCAUAUAAUUUCAGUAUCUUAAUAUCUUUUCAAUUUAAUUUUAAUACAAAAAUUUAUUUUUAUUAAUUUUUAAUUUCUAGUUAAGAAAAAAGAGAGAAAUCAUCAAAUUCUAACGGGCCCAACUCUUGUUAAAAAUGAAGAAGAAAAAAGCAUGAUCACAAUCCCUUUCGUUUUCGUUUUGAUAUUAUUGAUUUUAAUUUUUUUAACUUGAGUUUAGAGAAAAACUAAAUGAGAAUUUACCCGUUAAACUUGAAUGAUCAAAUCAGUUAAUCCGUAAAUAGUUCAACUUAGUCAAAACAUGGUUUUACUUUUUUUAACUAUGCAAUAUUUUGAACUUUUUUUAAAAAAUAAUUUCUUAAAAUGAUAUAAUUUUAAAUUAACACUGAUCAACAUGAACUAACCUGCAUAAUUUAUUACCUAAACCCUGAUCACUCAUGCCUAACCAUAGAUUGUUCUAUUUUCUUUAGUUUUGAUGAACAUGACAUUAAUUUAAUAACUUUAGUUUUGAUGAACAUGACAUUCUUAUGAAAAAUGUCGCGCGCACGUGUGAGUGGGAAAAACGCGUUUGUUCUAUUUUCUUUACUUUGACUAUAGUCUUCCCUGACAUUAUUAUUGUCACAAAGUGGGCAUAUUUCUUCUGUUAUCUUUCAAGAUUUGAAUUGAAAACGAGGGACGUAAUUAUACAUUAGUUGAAAUUUUAUGAUGUACAUUAAUUAAUCCUUUUAAAUUGAAGUCAAGUUAUUAAUUAAUUAAUUCCUAUAGAUUUUCAAUCCUCAAACCAAUUUCAAACAAAUCACUUCAAGUGAUUCAUCGUAGUUCAUGAUCAAUUCCUUAAAUCCUAUAAAUAAGAUUGAUCGAUCAAAUUUUAUAAUUAAUAAUAAUAAAUGAGUAGCAUGCUAAUAAAUAUUUGUGGAAGUGAACUGUUUUUUAUUGAAAAAAGAAUAAUUAAGCGAUCCUCUUCUUUUUAUAUAAUAAUAUAAUAACAACCGUAGUUUAAAUUAUCUCGAAAGGCAUGAUUUUUCACAUGUAAUUUCCAUCAAAUUCAAAAGGCAUGAUUUUCCACACGUAAUUUCAAUAAUAAUAAAAAAAAACAGUUGCAAGUCUUUAUAUUUAUCAUCAUCAUCAUAAAAAAAAAACAGACCCAUCUCACACUGCACAUUUUUGUCCAUCUUACUUCUUUAAUUGUGGAUUCAAUCAAUAUUAUUAAAAUCAAGUUCAACAUCAAAUUAUUUUUAAUAUUAACACAUUAAAAUAUAAAAAAGUUAAAAAUUAAAUUUUAUUCUAUUUUUAUUUGGAACGCAGCACUAACCAGUUAUUAAAAUCUAGUUUAGCUAGAGAGGAUGUGAUUAAAUUAAUUAUUUCGCUAAAUGUGGUCGAUUAUAUUCUUAUCCAUCACUUUGAUUAUUUUUCACUUUCUUCACUCUUUCUAUGAUUCAAAAGUUACUUAUUCAAAAAAAAAAAAAAUUUAAUUGUGGAAUGGUAUGGUAGUUGGAUCUAUUUGUUUUUUUUUUUUGUGUGGUUAAAUUAAUUAUUUCCAUAAAUAUUUGGGGGAAAAUAAAAUUAAUUAUUGCUAGAGAGGCACUGGAGCCUUUGAUAUUUUGCAAAGGCAUGGAAUUCGAUGCCAAGGGAAUGUAAGAUAGUUGUUGACUGCUGGCGUCAACGUGAUAAAGCAAUUAAUUAUAGUGAAAAUCAAAUAGUUAACAACGACAAGCUGAAUUCAAGUUAGAUUUAAAGUUGGAUAAUAAUUGAAGUAUUUUUAUUUGAAAAUAAAUUAAAAUAAUAUAUUUUUUAUUUUUUAAAAAAAAUACUUUUAAUAUCAUUAUAUUAAAAAAUUCAAUAAAUAUAUAUAUAAAUAAUUUUAAAUAAAAAAAUCAAAUUUUAUCUGAUUUUUAUUUGAAAAACAAUACCAUCUAGGGCAUAUCCAGGAAAAGUCUAUCAAGAAACAAAGAUAUUCGAAGAAUGACUGAAAAUAAAUCAAACCAAAGCCAUGGAAUUAGAAACCAAAAGAUGGACCAAAUUUGUCUCUAUAGUGAGCCAUCAAAGUGGUGGGGCAAAAACUUGAUGGGGAGAUAAUUAUUUAUUCAUCAAAACAAUUAUUUAUUCUGGAGGAAAACCCAAACUCAAUUUCAUUUGAUCAAAGUCAUACCAUCAAAGAAAACAAGAAAAAGGUAUUUAAUUAAUAUAAUAAUAAAAAAAUUUAAUUGUGGAAUGGUAUGGUAGUUGGAUCUAUUUGUUUUUUUUUUUUUUGUGUGGUUAAAUUAAUUAUUUCCAUAAAUAUUUGGGGGAAAAUAAAAUUAAUUAUUGCUAGAGAGGCACUGGAGCCUUUGAUAUUUUGCAAAGGCAUGGAAUUCGAUGCCAAGGGAAUGUAAGAUAGUUGUUGACUGCUGGCGUCAACGUGAUAAAACAAUUAAUUAUAGUGAAAGUGAAAUAGUUAACAACGAUAAGCUGAAUUCAAUUUAGAUUUGAAAAUUCUCAGAAACUUUACUAUUUUUCGCAAUGUAUGAAUAAUGAAAAUUCAGAAACUCUCCUUGCUGCAGGAAAUAGCCCUUGUUGUUGAAUUUGAAUCUAUGAAAAUAAUUCUGAAUUUUCACUAUAAUUUUCAUUAUAGUGAAAAUGAUGCAGCAAUAAAAUAUACCCACAGAACAGUAGGCUAGCCGAGUCAAAAGGAGGGUUGCCUCAUCUUAAUGAUAUUUAAUGUUGGAUAACGAUUAUUUUUUAAAAAAUUUUAUUUAAAAAUAUAUUAAAAUAAUAUUUUUUUUAUUUUUAAAAAAUAUUUUGACAUAACACAUUAAAAAAUACAAAAACAUUAUUCACUAUUGUUUUUUUUUUUUUUUUGAACUGCCUUGUCUCUCUUUCUAUUUUGUCUCCCAUCUGUUAGGCCUUCAAGAUUCAAAAUACAUAGCAAUUUAUGUUAGGAAUAUUGAUGAAAAAUAAAAUAUAACCAGAAAACAAAUACAAAAACAAAAAUUAUUUUUUAAAGUAUUUUUUACUUAAAAAUAUAUUAAAAUAAUAUACUUUUUAUUUUUUAAAAAAUAUUUUUUAUAUCAGUACAUUAAAAAUUUAAAAAUAUAAAAAAUUAAUUUUAAAUAAAAAAAUAAAAUUUUAUCCAAUUUUUAUUUGGAAUACAGUAUCAACGAAAAAAUCUAUCAAGAAACAAAGAUAUUCGAAGAAUGACAAAAAAUAAAUCAAACCAAAGCCAUGGAAUUAAAACCAAAAGAUGGACCAAAUUUGUCUCUAAAGUGAGCCAUCUUAGUGAUAAUUAUUUAUUUACCAAAACAAUUAUUUAUUCUAGAGGAAAACCCAAACUCAAUUUCAUUCGAUCAAAGUCACAACAUCAAAGAAAACAAGAAAAAGGUAUUUAAUUGAUAUAAUAAAAAAAAAAGUUGGUAUACUAAUAUAAAAAUAAUAAAAAUCUACUAAAAUGAGUGGAUUCAAAUAGAUCUGAAUAUUCAUAUACCUUAUCUUCUAAGUAAGAAGAAAUAAUAAAAAUAGGUGACGUUCUUUUCUCCGGUUGUAAAUGGAUGGAGACAUCAAUACCAAAAACAUGGACAAUUUCUUUUUUCAAUUUGAAUACUUAUUUUCACAAAAUCUUAUCAAUAAAAUAUCUUCACUAGUUCUAUUAUUAGAAUGAUGAUGUCACAAUUAACUUUUUUUUAGAUGAGUUUGGAUUGAUUUUAUUUUAUUUUUAAUUUCUGAAUAAUAAGGAUAUAUAAAAAAUAUUUAUACUUUAUAUCUUCUUUUAUUCAAGUACUCUUUCUAUUUAAGUACUUGAUAAACUAGUGUCUGUCCAUAAAUUUGUUUACUUUGAUUUCUCUAAUAAAUGUAAGGUUUACAUAUAGUAACUAUGGAAUAAUAAGAAUAUUAACAAUAAAAUUUAUUUAUAAAUAAAUCAUUGAUUUAAUUUCUUUGAAUUUUAAAUUUGGUGUGAAUAAAGUCAAGGGAUUUCCAAGAUAAAUAGUAUUUCAAAAAAUUGAGAAUCUCCCACUCUUCACUUUGUCUAUAGUUUUACCUAUAUUAUGGUCACAAAUUAGGGAUAGUUAAACUAGUGAUAUUUCUCGCACGCUCUUAAAAUUAUAGUUUUUUUAAUUUGUUCCUCAAUUUGUUUUUGAUAAUUUAGUUCUAAUUAAAGACCAAUUAAUUUUGAUUUAUUAUGAAAAGAUAGGAUUGAAUGAAGAGGGACCGAAAUGAAAAAGGCACCAAACAUGGGUCUCAUGCCAUAAGUUUCGCAAAUGAUGCAUUUUGGUUCUUAAACUUUGAAAAUCACGCAAAUCAUAUAAUUUCAGUAUUUCAAUAUUUUUCCAAUUUAAUUUUGAUACAAAAGUUUAUUUUUGUUAUUUUUUAAUUCCUAGUUAAGAGAAGGGAGAGAGAGGUCAAUAAAUUCAGGUGAUAGAGAGAGAAAAAUGUUAUUGAUAUCGAUUGAGAUCACCAAAAUGGACGAUAUUUGUGUGAAAUGACUUUAUUUAAUGAUGAAAGCUCAUAUUAAGUAUUUUUUUUACCUUUAAAGUUUGUGGAAAAAAAGAUUUGAUUUUGUAGUUGAUUUUUACCUUAAAAGAAACAUGAUAAGAUUUUUUUUUUUUUUUAACACUACUAAUCACUUCUUUAAAUAUACGUUAUUGUUGAUGUAUGAGAAUUUAAGUGAAAAGAAUUUUAGGAUUUCUAGAAAAUUGAAUUCUCUCAAAUUUUGUUAUAUUUUCUGUUUUUAUUUUUAUUAAUUUGGAUUUUCUUUCUUACUUUAUAAUAUUUUUUGGAUGAGAAUGAAAUAUUUUAUAUAAACUUUAAAAACAACACUGAUAUAUAUAUAUAUUCUGUGUUACUAUUACUUAUAUAAAUGGAUGAAGCAUGAAAAUUAUAGAAGGCGAUUGUCACAAACUAAACUCUGAAGAUGAAAUUGAAAAAUCUCAAGGAGCAAACUAAAAAUUUAACAAAAUCUUAAAUUAUAGCAUAUUAUCCCUUCUCAAGAAAUUAAAUAUGGCUGAAAACAAAUACAAAAAAAAAAAAAUUAUAGCAUAUUAUCCCUUCUGAAGCUUACGGGCAAUAUGGUCUCAUGGACUCUUAUCAUCCCUUUGAAGAAACUCCUGAUAGCAAUGGUCUCACGGACUCCUCACAUCGCACUUUGAUUAUUCUUCACUUUCUCGACUCUUCCUGUGUUUCACUACUUGAUGAUUCAAGAGUUAUUCAUUUGAAAAAACAAUUAAUUGUGGAGUCGUAUGGUAGCUGCAUCUAUUUGUUUUUUUAUUUUUUGUGAUUAAAUUAAUUAUUUCGAUAAAUGACACAUGUAUUGAGGGAAAAUAAAAUUAAUUAUUGCUAGAGAGGCACUGGAGCCUUUGAUAUUUUGCAAAGGCAUGGAAAAUUCGAUGCCAAGGGAAUGUAAGAUAGUUGUUAGACUGCUGGCGUCAAGGUGAUAAAGCAAUUAAUUAUAGUUAGCAACGACAAGCUGAAUUCAAGUUAGAUUUAAAGUUGGAUAAUAGCUAUUUGUUGAAGUAUUUUUAUUUGAAAAUAAAAUAAUAUAAUAUAUUUUUUAUUUUUUUAAAAAAAUACUUUUAAUAUCAGUAUAUUAAAAAAUUCAAAAAAUAUAUAUAAAAAUAAUUUUAAAUAAAAAAAUCAAACUUUUUCUAAUUUUUAUUUGAAACACAGUACCAACCAAGGUAUAUCCAGGAAAAGUCUAACAAGAAAUGAAGAUAUUCGGAUAAUGAUUGAAAAUAAAUCAAACCAAAGCCGUGAAAUUAGAAACCCAAAGAUGGACCAAAUUUGUCUUUACAGUGAGCCAUCUUAGUGGUGGGGCAAAAACUUGAUGGAGAAAUAAUUAUUUAUUCAUCAAAACAAUAUUUAUUUAUUUUGGAGGGAAACCCAAACUCAAUUUCAUUUGAUUAACGUCACACCAUCAGAGAAAACAAGAAAAAAGUAUUUAAUUGAUAUAAUAAAAAACAAAUUUGGUAUACUAAUAUAAGAAAAAUAAAAAUCUACUAAACUGGAUGACACUCAAACAGCUCUGAAUAUUUGCAUUCCUUAUCUUAUAAGCAAGAAGAGACAAUAAAAAAAAGUGACGUUUCUUUUCUCCCGUUGUAAAUAGAUGGAGACAUCAAUACCAAAAUAAACAUGAAUUAGUUAGAAUAAUUAUAACUAACUAAUAUAAUAGGUUUUAAUAUUUACUUUUAAUAUAUAUAAAAUGAAAGAUAUUAAGAGUUGAUUAAUGUGUUUAAGCUAUAUAUGUUUAAAUAUUUGCAAUAUGUACAUAUUCUAAUUUAAUAUUAGUAAUUAUAAAGUUUAUUUAGUUAAUAAAAACUCCUUCAUUUUUGUUUUCUCAUCUCUUACUAUUGUUCUUUCUUUUCUUUUGAAUUGUCUUGUCUCUUUAUUUUUUGUUUCCCAUCUCUCAAUCCUUCAAGAUUCAAAAUACAUAGCAAUUUAUGUUAGGAAUAUUGAUAAAAAAAAUAAAUAUAAUCAGAAAACAAAUACAAAAAAAAAUGAUAUUGGAGAAAGAGAGUAUCUAAUUCUAGUAAAGCAUUUAAAUUUCCAUUGAAAGAUGCGUCAUAUAUUAAUAUAAGGUCCAUUUUCCAUUAACUAAUCUGCGGUUGCAUUCUAACGCUUGAGAUUUAUUUUUUUUACUUAAGCAUUUAAUUCUUUUUUAUACACUAAAUUGAAAUUAAAGCAUAUUACCCCUGCUCAAGCUUAUGGGGUCUCAACUCUCAUGAACCCGUCUCGUAGAUAAAACAAAAAACGCUUGAUAGCAAUUGUCUCAUGGACCAUCCCACUGGUCUCUAUCGUGGAAAAAAAAUACAGAUGAUAAUGAUCUUACAGACCAUCCCACUAACCCACAUCUUUCUUUCUCUUUUGUCUCUCAUUAUACUUAUAAAACCUAUUCAAGUCGUAGACUGAGUGAUUUAGUUUAAAAUAAUAUUAUUUUAAGAUAUAUAUUUUUUUAAAAUUAUAACAAAAUCAUUUUAAAAAAUAUUUGAAUAGUCAAAUCUAGUUUCACUUGGAUUUUAACUAGACAAUAUGUUGACCUAAUAGAUUAAUAUAGUUUAAUCGGGUCAACUUUUAUAUAGUUUAAUAAAACCUAGUUUGAAAGUAAAAUACUAAAUUCUUCAUACCAUCAAGUUGACCCGUUAAGAUAAACCGGAUUUAAUAACACCUCUCCCGGCUCUCAAUCCAGUGAACACAAAUGAAAAAAAGCUUUACGUACAGAUGUUUGGGUUUGUUUAGAGAUUCAUUAUAGCAAAUAGGCUCAAAAGGUUGGAUAUGUUAUUACUUUCUCCCCCUGUCUUGUAUAUAGUGUCCUCUGUUUUUAUUUUAUGCUAGAUAGCCUCUAAUUUUGGCUCUACCACCUUUCUAUAAUAAUACUCGACUAUUAUAAAAAGAAGAAGAAGCAGAAGCAGAAAUAACUUAGCGCGUUUGUGUAUAGAUAGUUUCCUUGAAUGAAGCAUGUACAUGUCUGAUGAGCAGAAAGACAAAAAAUGGUAAAUGAGGACAGCAUUGCAUCACCACCAUGGCAAACUCGGCAUGACCGAGGAGUGCAGCAAUGUGCAAAGGAGUGUUUGAUGUGCUAAGGAUAUAUAGCCAAGUAAUUGUUUCUUUUUUGAGACUAAGAGUCAGUGUGUAGCGGAAUUAGCCUUCGUUCUCUCCUUCUGGUCAAUCGUCUUGGAGAGCCUAUGAUCUUGCCUUGAUCAAGACUCCUAUCUUAGUUAUUCAACAAAUAUGAAGAAAUUUUCCAAAAUCAUUUCUUGACAAAACAUCUCACGCAUCCCUCAGCCCUUGUCAAAUCCUCCAUCCCCUUAUGCCCUUGCACAGACUUGCCCCCGGGGUAAAUUCUAAAACUCGGGGCAUCUUUUAUAUGGAAUAUGCAAUUUCCAAAAGGUCUGAGGAAUCGAACAAAGAGGGAAAUGAUUGGGCAUCAGUCUUGAAACCACAAUGAUCCGAUGGACGAGAGCCGCUAGUGGAGAAGGAUUCAUGCAUCUCUGUUUUUGUGUAUUCCUCAUGCUCUUUUUCACUGUACAACAGAACUUUUGCCUCUUCAGUUUUUCCUUUUAGACUCUCUUCAAUCAAUGGAAAGAUGAAACACCACAGAAAGGUGUAAACUGACAAGAAAUUCAAUGCUCACACUUUGAAUUUUAAUUUGCAUGUUUCAGGUCAUUGAUAGCUAUACAUUAAAAUUACAGAGUAAAAUAUCAUUUAUCAAGAUUGUCUUGUUCGUUAUUGAUGAUGAUUAGUGAUUCGAAAUGGAUGCUGGAAAUUGGAACAAAGUGUUUGUGUAAUUUGCUACCGCUUUGGGGGACUUGAUUUUCUUUUCUUUGAGUUAUGUCGUGAAUUCAAGUUACGCAGGAUUUAAGAAUUCUUCAAGACAUAGAACCAUCUUAAUUGGGGAUCGAAAACUUGAUGGACGAGUUGUUAGAUAGGUUGUGAGAACAUCAAGGCCCAAAGAAGAAGAGGAAUUCUUUAUGGGGCACAGUCACAGGCAUAUCUAGAGAAGAUACAGAGUUGAGUUGAAACUUGUUAAUUGAUCUUAAAAAGAUACAGAGCCCCUGACUUAAGGCAAAGACAAAUAUUUUAGAGAAGGUGGUGCUCAAGGGUUUUAAGGGAGUUUUCUCCGGAAAACAAAAGUCCAUAAACAACUUUUCCAAGGAACUUAAAUUCUCAAUUAAUUAAUUAAUUAUAAUUUGGGUUAACUUUCACACUAUUUAAGUUUUUUUUUAAUAAAAAAAUAUUACUAACAUCUAUAUAUAUAUUUUUUAGAUUGAAAACAUGACUUGUAGCGUAGCGUGGCUACAAAUCUAUUAUUUUCACUAUUAGAGACAAGUACUAACUUGUUAAAUCUUUUAAAAUACACUAGAUGGAGUAGAAGUUCUAGAUGGAGUAAAGUUGUUAAAAUAAGAAAUUUACUUUGGAUUAAUAUACAAUCUAACCAAUUGAUACAAUAGAUUAUAAUAAAUUUAGAGUAGAAGUUCUAAAUAAGAUGACUGUAAAUUAGCGGCACAAGUCGUUCUUCCAAUACGCCACUUCCCUUCAACCAAGGAUAUUCAUUAACUUAAUUAUUAUAAUUCAAAGUAGAUUGUUUCCUUCCAAACAUGUUCUUGCUUAUCAUCCUUUAUCAAUUUUAUGCCAACAUAUUAGUUUUUUGUUUUUUAUGAUCACUUAAUACCUUCAAAUUAGUUUUCAAGUUUUGAGAUUAAGUUCAUGGAUCUAUUCUUACCACGAGAUUAAAAAUGAUUUUAUAUUUAAUUAAAUAAAUAAAUAAAUUAGUAAUAUAGAUAUGAUAUUCUUUCUUAUCCAAUUACCACAACAGAACGACCUAGCGUUACCAUGUUGAAACAAUGCCUACCCAAAUAACUCAAGCCCAAACAAUGACAUGAAUUGGGUAAGCAAUGCCUCCUUUCUUUUUUAUAACAAAUACUACUGGGCUUCAGAUAAAACGCUUCAGAUAAAACAAGAAGAAGAUAAAAUCUUUAUAAGCUAAGAUAAAUUGAUAAAGGAGAUUCUCAAUAAGUUAAAAAUGGAGGAUUGUUAAUCUUUAUAAGCUAAGAUAAAUUUCUAAAGGAGAUUCUCAAUAAGUUCAAAAUGGAGGAUUGUACAAAAAUAAAUACUCUAGUUGAGUGUGGAGUGAAGAUGUCAAACAAUUGUCGCACCCGACAUCGCGGCGGCCUUAAAAAUAACAUCAAUGGAAAGAACAAAUUUCUGGCAUCUUGUUCUUUUAGGAGAAAAGGUCUUGUUUAAGGAGUCGCCACCUAGUAUUAUGGUCACUAGAAACCGUAACUAGUUAACAGAGAUUCUAUGGUUCGGGACUGGUUACGUAAAAGGAAAGAUAUUAUCAUCCCUUAAACGUCUUGCCUGAGGCAGACUGCAUUGCUGAUUUUGUUUUAAAUUGCCAAACGUUUAUUAGUUUAUGCUAUGAUAAUUUGCUUAUAAUAUUCCCGACUCUGGCGCCAGUGAAUAUUCAACUACGGAUACUUCCAACUCUGACGUUGGUAAAUAUUAUGUAGCUAUAAAAUAAAUUAGAUCAAUAUUUUUAUACCUGACUGUAGCAUAAGUGAAUAGACAAAUAAAAUAAAUUUAUUUUUACACAUACACAUAUUUUUUAUUUUUAAUGUAGCUAAAUAAAAAUAAAAUACAAUUAAAUUAGUAGUUUUGUUCAUGACUCUAGUGUCAAUCAAUAAACAAAUAAAAUAAAUUUAUAUUAUUUUUAUUCAUGCAUACAUAUUUUUUUAAUUUUUAAUUUUUAUUAUUAUUUUUUGGACCGGGUCCAGCUCAGUCCAUGUGGCUGGGCUGGACCCAGCAAGCUUAGCCGGGUCACAGGCUUGACCUGGCUGGCCAUUGCUUUUUAGUUUUUACCAGCAAGCGUGCGUGAACUGCUCACGCACGCCUGCUACAGGAGCAUGUAAUUAAAAUGCAAGGAGGGAAAGCGCAACUUACCUGGCGCUGCACUUGAAGAUGAGGAUGACGGUGAUGGAGGGCCGGCCGGCUGAUGCUAUUUUCUCCUCCUCUGUUUUCCUCUUGGUGUUCCUCUAGUCUUCCUUCUCUCUGCCCUCUUUUUCUUUACUUUUAUGGGUUCCUUCCUCUUCUCUGAUCUCUCUCUCUCUCUACUGUGUUUGCUCUGUUUUUGUUUUUUUUUUUUUUUGUGUCACCUGUGUUUGUUCCUUUUCUUCCCUUGGUUUCUUGGUUCUCUCUCUCUCUCCUGCGUCCUCGGUUUUCUUUUUUUAUGCUUCCCCCCAGUUUUUCCCCCUAUUUGCGUCUUCGUCCUCCUGUGCUCCCUUCGUGUUCUAGGUUCUCUCCCCUCGGUUCUGCCCUUUUUUUUCCCCUCGGUUCUGCCCUCCCCCCCCCUCGUCUGUGAAUUUUUGCUCUGAAGACGAAGGCGAAGCUGGGGUACGCUGGCUUUUUCUCUGGUUUUUCUUCCCCUGUUUCUGUUUCGUUUUUGCUUCUCUCUCUAUCCUACCGGUUCACUUCCUCCCGGCCUCUCUGUUCUUAUCUGGCUUUAUAGCCAAAGAAUGCCAAGCAUCCCUACGAUUGAAACGGCUUCAAGCCUUUAAUCCAGAACCGGUUCCUGAUGAAUAGCUUCUAAAACGAUUGAAACGGCUUCAAGCUUUUAAUCCAGAACCGGUUCCUGAUGAAUAGCUUCUAAAACGAUUGAAACGGCUUCAAGCUUUUACUCCAGAAACAGUUCCUGAGGAAGAAGGCGAAGACGCCGUUUGUGUGAUGGGAAUAGCCAUUUUUAAUCUGGUCAUAGAAGUUCUGAAAUCGUGUAAUCAAGCCCCUGGGUAAAUUGUAAUUGGACCCCUGUAUUUCGGCGUCUUUUACAAGCUAGUCCUUGAACUUUAACCUGUUGCAAUUUUGCCCCCAAUUAACCCCAAACUUUGAUAUUUAAUUAAGUCCCUGAUUUUAUUAAUUAAAUUAAUUUCAAGUUCAAAUAAGUCUCAAAACUUAUCAAUUCUCCAAUUAAGUCCUUGAUUUGAUUAAUUAAAUUAAUUCCAAGCUCAAUUAAGUCUCAAAACUUAUCAAUUAUCCAAUUAAAUCCUUGAUUUGAUUAAUUAAACUAGUCAAGAGUUUAAUUAAAUCUCUAAACUUCCAAUCAUGUUGCCCUUAAUCCAAAUUUAUUUUUAAUUUCAUUCUUUAUUUGUUUUUUCAUCAUCAUUUUUCAUUUUUUUAUUAUCAUUUCUCAAUAAAUAAUAAUAAUAAUAAACAUAAAAAGGGUCAAAAAUUGGGUUAUGACAACAAUGAUUAAGGGGAAAAGAUAAACUCUACAACAUUAAUCAAAAGCCUAGUUGAGAGUUUGAAAUAUUUAACAUGCAUUCAUCUGGAUAUUCUUUUUGGAGUAGGACUUGUGAGUAGGUUUAUGGAAACACCAACUAUGACUCACUUCAAAGCUUUGAAGCGAAUUCUUCGGUAUAUAAAAUGUACUAUUGAUUUUGGAUUAUUUUAUGGAUAUUUUAAUAGUUUUGAUCUUGUGGGCUAUAGUGAUAGUUAUUGAGUUAGAGAUAUGAAUGAUAAAAAGAGUGCUAUGAGUUUUGUUUUCUACAUUGGAGACACAUCAUUCACAUGGAAUUCAAGUAAGCAAUCUAUAGUCACUUUGUUAAUAUGUGAAGCUGAAUAUGUAGUUAAUACAUCAUGUGUUUAUCAUUUCAUAUUGCUAAGACGAUUAUUGAAAGAAUUGUGAAUGCCACAAGAGAAGCUUUUAUAUGAACAACUGUCAAAACCUCUAAACCACAUCAACCACGAAGCAGUUUACCUCAAGUAAGGUGCGCUAGGGAUGCUAAUACCUUCUCUAACCACAACCAGUCUCUUACCCUCGAAUCUCUGACAAGACCAUUACACCCGAGUUUCCUAGCAACCCUGAAUCAAACAACUAGCUAGGUGGCGACUCCUAAUUGACCCCCCGAUGUUGCGCGUCCAUGUGUGACACUAGGGAAGAAGUAGAUGUUGAUGAGGUCAAGUUAAUCACUGUUCUUGCAGUUAAGGCUGGUGAAGUUAUAGCAAUUGAUGGAGUUGUUGUUGAUGGUAACUGUGAAGUGGAUGAGAAAACUUUAACUGGAGGUUCAUUUCCGGUUGCCAAACAAGUGGAUUCCGUAGUGUGGGUUGGAACUAUUAACUUCAAUGGUGACAUCAAUACUUCUCUCUGACACUCUAUGAAUUGUUUUUGAAUGCAUUUUGGCUUUGGUGGUAAUGGGGUGUUAGAACUACUGCUUUAGCUGAAGACUGUGUGGCGGCUAAAAUGGCAAAGCUUGUGGAAGAAGCUCGAAACAGCAAGUCUAAAACUCGAAGAUUCAUAGACAAAUUCGCUCAAUACUAUACUCCAGGUUAGGCAUACUGCAGUCCAAUUACUCAUCCAGUUUUAUAGGCUUUCACUGAAGUAGGGUACCGAGAACGAGUAUUUGGACAGCCCUUCACAUCAUUCUUUUAGAAUGAAUCGUCAGCUCCAUUGCUAGACAAUCCUACCUUUCAUUUUGUGGGAAAGUUUUCAUUUUAGUUCAUUGUUCAGAUUUGCAGCGGUGAUAUUCAUGCCGGCUGGCGUAGCAGUGAUUCCACUAGCAUUACGAGUUCAUAAUCGUGAUCACUGGUUUUACUUAGCACUGGUUGUUCUAGUCAGUGCAUGUCUAUGUGCUCUUAUCCUGUCUACACCAGUUGCAACUUUUUGUGCACUAACAAGGGCAGCAACAGCUGGUCUUCUAAUCAAAGGGAGGGUACUAUCUUGAAACACUAGGCAAGAUUAAGGCAAUGGCUUUCGACAAAACCGGUACCUUAACAAGAGGUGAAUUUGUUGUCACAGAUUUCCACCAUCUCUGCGAUGACAUCAGCUUAUAGACAUUGCUUUAUUGGUAGAGUAGGUCUAUAAUUCUUCUAUUAUGGCGAACUUUACUCUUCACUGGCAAGUAAUGUUUAUGCAAGUUUCUAAGGGUAUCAAGCAUCGAGAGUAAAUCAAGUCAUCCAAUGGCAGCUGCGCUAGUCGACUAUGGAAGGUGGCAUUCAGUGAAACCAAAGCCUGAGGAUCUAGAGGAAUUUCAAAAGUUUCCUGGAGAAGGAAUCCAAGGAAAAAAUGAAGUGAAAAAUAUAUGUAUUGAUAACAGAAAGAUUGCUCACAGAGCUUCCGGAACAGGUGAAAAGCCCUAAUUAUAUCCUAGUAAGAAUAAACAAUAUGAUUCACAUUUCAAACUAACCAUCUAUAAAAUAACUUUCAUCUUGAAAGUUUUUGGCAGUCUUAUAAAAUAACCAUGAUUUCUAUCGAUUUGUAAUCUGAUAUGUAAAUCAAUCGGUUCCCUUAAACCUUAAACUAACAAUAUAUGAUGUGUCAUAAUUUAACUUUUUAUUUUUUUCAAAAAUAAAUAAAAAUAAAAAAAAUAAUUUAAAAAUUGAAUCAAGAUAACAUAAAUUAAGAAUUAAGGAUUAAUAAUGAUGAGAUUAUAAAUUUAAAAGUUAAUUUGAUCAAAACAUGAAAGAAUUGAUAAGUUUGAGGACUUCAGUAAACUUUAAAUUAGUUUAAAUAAUAAAAUCUAUAGUUUAUUUGAAAAAAAUCAAAUUUCAGGAUUAAUAUGGGUUAAAAUUAUAAAAAAUUAAAGUUAAAGAACUAAAAUAAAUAAAUGGUGAUAGCAUUAGGAGGGUUAAUUAAUUAUUCCAAAAGUAAUUUUAAAAUAAUUAAAAGUUAAAUAGCUAAAUAAAUAAUGAAUUAAUUAAAUUGAAAACCAAAAAUUAUUUUUGUAAAUGGUAACAGGUUUCAAUUGCAAUUUAUCUAGGAGAAAAAUUAAAAUAGCCUUUUCAGGUGAAAACAACGCUGUUUCAAAACAAACUAUUCAUCUCCUUCAUCCCACCGAUUCAGCAGAAACGGCAGUAGAUCAUGGUCACGUCUCUAUCCAGUAUCUCUCCUCCACAAUGUGCCCCUAACAGUCCAGUAAUGGGCAUUUUUUUUUUCUCAAGCAUGACAGGACCGUGCUAAUCUCCACACUAUCCCGGGAGAGAUGAAGGGGCAUUCUCUUGCUCUAUAAAGACCACAACACACAGAGACGAAGAGGCAGGGGGGAAAAAACAGAGACAUAGAGAAGACAGAGAGACUUGUCACCUUCCUCCAGCAAAAGGGAACUUUAACUUCCCCUCACCGUAGGUUGUUGAUCCAACCAACCAAAUACAAACCCAGAGAAACCAGGACGAACAGAGAAAGGCCACAAAGAAGGGGAGAACCACAGACAGAUAAUACAAAAAAAACACAGACGAAAUGAACAAACACAGAUAAUACAGAGAGAGACCAAGAGGAACAAGAACAGAGAGAGACAGGGAACAAGAGAAAGCAAAAAAAAAAAAAGAAAAAAGAGAGAAAACAAGCAGAGAAAAGCAAGAACAGAGGUGAAGUGAACAAAAAACAGAAGUAGAGGGGAAGAAAGUAACAUUGGUUAGCCAGCCCUCCAUCACCAUCGUCUUCGUCUUUAAGUAGCAACUCCAGGUAAGUCUUUCUUUCUCUUUCCCCCGCUUUGCAGCUUCAAUUCUUAAUAAUAAUUGUAAUAAUAAUAACAAACAUGGAUUGAGGACCAUAAGGAACAGCAAACGAAAGGCCUUUUGUCAUGAUAUAUAUAUAUAUAUAUAUAUAUAUAUAUAUAUAACAGUAUGUAAGAAAUGGUUGCGGUGGCGAAUCUAGAAGGUGACAGACCAGUAACAGUGGCUGUGGAUUAUUAGAAUUCCAACAAGAAGAAUUAUAAUCUGGACUGGUUCAAAAUUAAGAGUCAAAGAUGUUAAUUACCUCAAUGUCUAGGAUUCAAAGCUUUUCAGAAUCCACACACCAAUUCAAAGAUCUAACAAACCAUCUUCAUUUGCAUCCAUACUCCCAAUAGCUCUUUCCACUCAGUAUACGAAUUUCAUACAAAACUUUAACUAUAGCAAUCUGAAAAUGGAAAUAUAUAAAGUUAAGCAUGAAAAAUGUUUCCCAAGACUUCAUUACAAGAUUGACCGGUUAAAUUUGUGAUUCAAACUGAAAAUACUUGCCCGGAUUAACCAAUGAAGAAAUUUAAUUAUUAUAUCACACAGAAGCUAAAAUGAAAAACCGAAACAUAAAUGAAAAUUAAUACAACAUCGCUUGAGCAUGCCUUAAAACUUGUUUAAAUCUUAAAACCAGAAUACACAACAAAGCACCAAGUCUUAGUACCAUCAAGGCUAUGAAAAUCCAAACUUGGAUAAAAUGGAAAGAUUCUGCACCAGAAAAUAAUAGCAAUUGUUGAUGCUCACCUCAAUAAAGUAAAACCAAGCUCGUCGCCAAUAUGGAUUUAUCUACAGAACUGCACCUAUCACUAGCAAUUGCGAGUAUUUUCUGCAUUUGAAUUUGAUUAGCUUGAUUUUAUGGUUUAUGCAAAUUGAUUUUCUUCUGAAUAGACUGUUGUGAGUGUCUGAUGCCCUGGUCUUUGAUUUUAAUUAUGGUUGGCUUUUCACGUUUUCAUUUUGAUUGAUUGUUUCUCUAUAACGUGGAUCAUUUCUGUAGGUUUCAUGGUCUUAUAUCCAGAGACCGGAGCCUGAAGAAAACUCGUCUGAGGUGUGUCAUUGUUUUUCUGAUGUUAAUAAAUUUUAGAGCCCAAAGAUUGGAAAAACUAAGAAUGAUGCAUGAUUGGACAUGCUAAAUGAGUUGUUCUGGUUUUCAUUUGUCUAUCUUGUAUAAUACGUACGGUCGAUUUUGUGUUUGAUGCCAGGCCAUCUAUCAAUGCCAACUUCUGGGCUGUAUUUUUCUCUCAUUCAUUGACAAUUGCAUGACUAGGAUUUGACCACCAUUCUUAAUAUUUUAUGCAACCUUUGGAUAAUUUUGGUGGGACUGCAUCUUUAAUUUUCUCCACACUAUAGGCUAUACAUUCUUCCUGCGUCUUCUUUCAGCGUCACAUGCAUGGAAAACAAAUAUUUUUUAUGAAGUCCCCGUGGUGUAUAAAUGUUGUUUCUUUGACACGGAAUAGACUUGUUAGGAUGUUGAUAGGGAGACCUUGUCAUGUGCUUGAAGUUGUUGAUAGGGAGACCUUGUCAUGUGCUUGAAGUGAUAUUUGUGAUUUCAGGCAAGUGCUCUUGUUUCUUAGAUGACAGAUGAGAGAUAUGCUGUUUUCCAGCAAAUUAAGCAGCUUCAGCAAGAACUAGUAAGGUGCUUAGUAUGUGAAUAUAUCAUGUAAGCUUAAUUGCUGAAAUUCUUUUAGGACAACCUUGCCUUUAGAUCAGUUGUGACUUCAAGAAAUAUUAGGUACCAAGAAAAGAAAAAUACAAAGACAAAUCCAUAUUCUGUGAUGAAUUCAGUACAGGAAGAUAAUGUAAAUUUUUUUUAUGAAGUCCUCGUAGUGUAUGAAUGUUGUUUCUUUGACACUGAAUAGACUUUUUAGGAUGUUGAUAGGGAGACCUUGUCAUGUGCCUGAAGUGAUACUGUACAGCACUUCUGGAACAUCAGAGACCAGAGGCUGAAGAAAACUCGUCUGAGGUGUGUCAUUGUUUUUCUGAUGUUAAUAAAUUUUAGAGCCCAAUGUAUGAAGAUGAUAUUUGUGAUGAAUUCAGUGCAGGAAGAUAUUCCAACCUCAAUUUCCAAACCCAAAAAAAACAUCAUCAAACCCUAACUGAAAAGCUUUUAUCUAUGAUAAAACAAUGCAAAUCGAAAAACCUACUAAAACAAAUCCACACAAAUGCUUAUAAACUCAAUACCAAAACCCAAUUUCCUUCUUUCCAAAAUCGUUGACCUCAAAGACUUGGCCUAUGCAUCCCUUGUUUUUAAUCAACUCACCAAACCCAAUAUUUAUGCCUUCAAUGUCAUGAUUCGUGGGUUAGCUACCACAUGGAAAAAGUAUGAUUUUUGUGUUGAAUUGCAUUACAAGCUGAAGUCUUUAUGCCUAAAAGCAAACAAUUUCACAUACCCUUUUUUGUUUAUAGCGUGAGGGAAUAUUUGGGGUUUGGUUCAUGGAAAUAUUGAUCAUUGUCUGGUGUUCAAGGCUGGUUUGUAUGGUGAUGAGCAUGUAAAUCAUUCUUUGACUACAAUGGACGCAAGGUGUGGUGAAAUCGGGUUUGCACGGAAGGUGUUUGAUGAAAUGGGUGAAAGAGACUUGGUGUCGUGGAAUUCGAUGAUUUCGGGGUAUUCUAAGAUGGGUUUUGCUAAAGAGGCAAUUGGGUUGUUUAUGGAAAUGAAGGAGGAGGGGUUUGAGCCAGAUGAGAUGACGUUGGUGAAUGUUCUUGGGGCGUGUGGGGAUUUGGGUUUGGGGAGAUGGGUGGAGGGGCUUGUUUUGGAGAAGAAGAUGGAGGUAAAUUCGUAUGUGGGGUCUGCCUUGAUUGUCAUGUAUGGUAAGUGUGGGGAUUUGAUAUCUGCGAGGAGGGUCUUUGAUUCAAUGCCAAACAAGGAUGUUGUCACUUGGAAUGCCAUUAUCACAUGGUAAUUAGACCGGUUUUAUACUUUGUAAUUGUCACAUAUAGUGGAAUUGUGUUUAUUUCUGUUCCUUUAAACUAACUUGAAAUUUGAAUUCUUCCUAAUUAAUCAGCUAUGAAAUAAAAACCACACAAAUAUAUGAAAUUUGUAAAUGCGUUUCAAGUUAAUAUGAUUUUUUUUGUUCAACUAUCACUUCAUAUGUGUGCACAGAAUGGAGCUUCCAAUGAAGCAAUUGUACUAUUCAUUGGAAUGAGAGAGGCAGGUCCUAAUCCAGAUAAAGUCACAAUGAUUGAAGUAUUGUCUGCAUGAUCCACAAUAGGGGCCCUUGAUUUGGGGAAAUGGGUUGAGACACAUGCAUCAGAAAUAGAUUUACACCACGAUGUCUAUGUUGCGAGUGAAUUAAUUGAUAUGUAUGCAAAAUGUGGGAGCUUGGAUGAUGCACUCAGGGUUUUUGAGAGUAUGCCUCAUAAAAAUGAGGUCUCAUGGAAUGCCAUGAUUUCUGCUCUUGCUUUCCAUGGGCGGGCCCUGGAAGCAUUAUCAUUAUUCAGACGCAUGUCAAAGGAUAAUGGCACUGUUCAGCCUAAUGACAUCACUUUCAUAGGAGUACUUUCUGCAUGCGUGCAUGCCGGAUUGGUUGAUGAGGGCAGCCAAUUGUUUGAAUCAAUGAAAAUGUAAUUUGGAUUGGUCCCAAAUGUCAAGCAUUAUUCUUGCAUGGUUGAUCUUUGUGCGCGUGCAGGACUUCCGAAUGAAGCUUGGGACUUAAUCAAGAAGAUGCCUGGUAAACGAGAUGGAAUUGUGUUGGGGUCAUUGCUUGGUGCCUGUCAGAGGCGUAGAAAUGCAGAUGUUGGUGAAAGGGUCAUUCAAUUGUUUCCAGAGAUGCAAUUAUCUCAUCUAAGAUAUAUGCAAAUAUGAGAAGGUGGGAUGAUUCUGCAAAGAUGAGGUAGUGUGGUGUCUCUAAAACCUCUGGCUGUAGCUGGAUUGACGUUGGAGCUGGUGCUCAUGAAUUUCAUGCUGGUGGCAGCUUACAUCAUCAUUCGGAGAACAUAUACCAAUUGCUGAAUGAGGAAAUGAAGAGAGAAGGUUACAUUCCAAAUAGCGGUUGCAUAUAGAGGUGGAAAAGUUGAAAACUUGGUGGCCUCUUUCAGCCAUUGAGCAGUGCAUUCGGAGGGAUUGUAUCUUCUGGUUGAUGACUGCAGCCAAAGUGUUGAAUGGCAAGUUGUGUUCUUAGGAGCUUGAGCAAGGAUCUCUAUCUUGCUGAUAGAAAUGUAUAGUUUACCCUCGCAUGAGUAUGUUUCUGUAGAAUGAAAAUGGUUGUUGGAUUGUUACAUGCAUUGGCUGUAAAAUAAUGCAAGUUCAUUGCGGAAAGAAUGCUAAAACUAUUUUUUUUUUAGAACAUAAGGAGGGAAUGCAGGGGGAAUUUUGGUGGAUUGAAAUAAAAUGCACUUGACACCUUUUAAGUUUUUAAGGGAUGCCAUAAAUCAUUUUCAAUAGUCCUCUAUGAAAAUGGUUUCCAUAAAACAAACAAGGCCAGUUUAGUUUUUUAAAGCUCCCUUUGCUUUCUUAACUUUCUCCUUGCUGUGGCAAUUGCAGCUGGAAAUAUGAUAAAGCUGAAGGACAUGCUAGUGGAAGUGGAAGAGAAGAAAUGCAUUUUGAUUUGUCAGUGUUUUAAGCAAGUGGAAGUGGAGGUAAUUAAAGAUUCUAACAAGAGACUUAACUUUAUUUUCAUAUAUUCUUUCACCGGAUAUUUGUCAUUUGUCAGUCUAAUUGGAUCUAUUAUUCUUGUAAUUCUCAUUUUCUAGUUUUUUUAGAGGAAGUUUAAUUUUUUUUUCUUUUUACCUUCAGGAGAAAGCUAAUCAUAUCAAAUACAAGGUUUUCUAGUUUUCUGUACAUCACUUUUGGAACAUAUUUUUGGAAUAAAUUUGAAUUGAUAUUUGUGUUGUAAUGUAUUCCCUUUAAUAUUAAAUAUUUUUGGAUAUUCGUGUUGUAAAUUUGAAUUGACCAUCCAUAAAUAUCAAGUAAUAAUGUAAUAUACAAGGGAAGUAAAAACUCAUGCAAUUGAAAAGCCCCCACUAUAUAAAAACCCACAAAACCAAAUGGAACUAUAUAAAUUAAUACAACAUCGCUUAAGCAUGCCUUUAAACUUGUUUAAAUCUUAAAACUAGAAUACAUAACGAUGCACCAAGUCUUGGUACUAUCAAGGCUAUGAAAACCCAAACUUUGAUAAAAUGGAAAGGUUGUCUACUAAAAAAUAAUAGCAAUUGUUGAUGCUCACCUCAAUAAAGUGAAACUAUGCUUGUCGCCAAUAUGGAUUUAUAUGCAGAAAUGCACCUAUCACCAGCAGCACCAUGAUGUAUGCAACCCAAAAGGUAACAUAGAAAACCUCCAUAUCUAUGAAGCCACCAUUAUCUUCAUUGUUUGUUGAAGUUGGUGUUUGUGAUGGUGGCAUAGCCGCACCACAUAUUUUGGGUAGCGGUUCUCCACAAAGAAAAGGGUUGUCCUUGUAGCAGCUCGCCUCAAACGUGGCAAACUGUGCAACUCUCGCAGGAGUCUUACCGGAAAAAUUAUUGUGAGCCACACUAAAAACUUCUAGAGAGAAUAGUUCAGUAAGACGAGGUGGGAUUUCUCCAUCUAGUUUAUUGUAGGAAAGAUCCAAGCUCUCUAUUUCCUUCAAGUUCCAAAAUGUUGGUGGAAUUGUGAUGCAGACCAGGUAGCAAACUCAUAUUUGGCGCGCCUAGAGCACCCAAAAAAGCAAAAGAGCUUAUCAUUGAUGAGUCAUAACAUGCAUAAUCAGGCACUUUAAGUUUCUUACGUGACAGUUGGAAUUUCCUCCUGUUUCCUUAUUUAGCUUUUAUUCUCCCAAUUAUUUUAGGACUGUUUGUUUUAGAAGACUAAGAGUUUCUUUUCGUUUCUUCCUUUAGCUUUUAUUUCCACAUUAAUUCGAGACUGUUCCCAAUUUAAUUGAGUAGUUUUAGGAGUGUAAGAGAUUCGUUUUCUCUAUUUAUUUGGUUGUAAUCGCUUUGCAAUGGGCAGUUGGAAUAAAAACAAAAACUCCUUUGAGUAGUUAACUCAAAUAUCUCUCUUUCUUCUGUUUUUCUGCGGAAUUCCAGAUCAAAGAAACCCUUGUUUGUUAGAAUGCAUGUGAGUUCCGUUCUGGUCUGCAUCAGGUUGGUAUCAGAGCCAGGUUAGUUAUCAUCGUCAUGGCACCAAAGAGACACGCAAACCUACCGAACCUUCGUGAACAACCGUUGGAUGAAGUCUAUGAGUGCGAUGAGAUUGCACGACUACAACAUCAAGUCGAGACGUGAACGCAGCAGUUGGCAGCGUUAAUGGCUCAACAUCGGGAUCCGAAUCCACAAGACGUGGAAGAAGAGUCCGAAGGUGACGAAAAUCCAUUCGCCCCUCAACCAGUGUAGAGGAGGCCAGCGAAUGAUGAAUCAAGGCAUUAGGAGUCAGGCCUUAAGGUCGACAUACUAGAGUUCCAUGGUGGUUUGCAAGCGGAUGAAUACCUCGAUUGGAUCAAUAUGGUAGAGGAAGUCUUAGAGUUUAAACAGGUUCCAGAAGACAGACGGGUAGCGCUUGUUGCAACAAAGCUUAGAGUUCGGGUUGGGGCUUGGUGGCAACAGAUAAAGAAAACAAGGACUCUACAAGGGAGAGGAAAGAUCACGUGCUGGGACAAGAUGAAAAAACACAUGCGUUCUGCGUUUCUACCAUGCAACUACACACGGACACUCUACCAACGGUUACAAAAUCUAAGACAGGAAAACCGCUAAGUUGAUGACUACACUACGGAGUUCUAUCAAUUAGUAUCGCGAGAUGCGAUUGCAGAGGAUGAGUAGUUGCGGGUUGCGCGAUAUAUUGGAGGGCUGCGGAUUCAAUUCCAAGAUGUCCUGAAUAUGUUUGAUGUGUUGAGUGUGUCAGAUGCCCACCAGAGAGCAGUGCAGUUAGAGAAACAACUAAUGCGUGGAAAUACAAGGAGUAUGAACUUUGGAGGUUCUAAUGCAAAUACAAGCAAUAACAGCGGACGAACAGGGAGUAUGAAUUUCGGGGGAACCAGUACAGGUGGUGCAAGCAGCAGUAACGCACGAACAACCAUUCCACCAUCUACUACUAUCAAGCCUACGAUGCCUGCACACACAACGACACCGAACACAGGUUUUUGUUGCUUUAACUGCGGAGAACCAGGACACAGGUUCGCAGAGUGUAAGAAAGGAGCAUGGAGAGGGUUGUUUUUGGACAUCGAAGAAAUUAGUAGGGAACAAGAUGGCGAUGUUGAGGCAGAACCAGUUUAUGAUGAGGAAGAGCAUUUAGAGGGGGAUACUGGAUCGAUGUUAAUGGUCCGACACAGUUGUUUAGCGUCACGCGAGAUAAAGGAUGAUUGGUUAUGCACUAAUGUAUUCUAGUCCACUUGCACAAUCAACAGGAAAGUCUGUCGGUUCAUCGUUGAUUCAGGUAGUUGUGAGAAUGUAGUGUCCGAUGAAGUGGUCUGUAAACUACACAUGGCAACAUAAUCACAUCCUCGACCAUAUAAAUUAACAUGGCUAGAUAAGAAGAAUGAUGUUACAGUAUCAAAAUGCAGCUUGGUAUCUUUUUCAAUCGGCACAACAUACAAAGAUCAGAUUUGGUGUGAUGUGGUCUCCAUGGACGCCUGUCAUUUAUUAUUGGGCAGACCGUGGUUAUAUGAUCGACAUGUGAUGUAUGAUGGGUUCCUGAAUACAUGCACUUUCAUAUUUAAUUCAAUCAAAGUUGUGUUGCUACCAAAGAAGGAAACUACAGGUGGUAUUCUGACAGGAGAAAAAAACAAUUUAUUGACAAUGGCUAAAUUCGAAGCAGAGAUCAGAGAAUCUGGGGUGGUUUAUGUGCUGAUCGGAAGGAUGGAAGUUGAGAAUGGCACUAUUCCAAGCAGCGUGGAGCCAUUAUUGCAGGAAUUUGGAGAUGUAUUUCCGGCUGAGCUUCCUGAGAACCUACCCCUAUUAAGGGACAUUGAACAUCAAAUUGAUCUGGUUCCAGGUGCCAACUUGCCCAACAGGCCGCAUUAUCGGAUGAGUCCAAAGGAGCAUGAAGAGUUACGGUGCCAAGUAGAGGAAUUGCUAAUAAAAGGGCAUAUUCGGGAGAGUCUUAGCCCAUGUGCGGUGCCUGCCCUUCUGACCCAAAAAAAAAAAACAUGACAUGGAGAAUGUGUGUUGACAGCAGGGCCAUCAAUAAGAUUACGGUUCGAUACAGGUUUCCGAUCCCACAGUUGGAUGACUUGCUGGAUCAGUUGAGCGGAGCCAUAAUAUUCACGAAGCUGGACUUGAAGAGCGGGUAUCACCAGAUUCGUAUCCGGCCAGGAGAUGGGUGGAAAACGGCCUUCAAAACUCGAGAAGGACUCUUUAAGUGGAUGGUCAUGCCUUUCAAACUGUCUAAUGCCCCAAGCACAUUUAUGCGGGUGAUGAAUCAAGCCCUGCGGCCCUACAUUGGUAAGAGCGUGGUGGUAUAUUUUGAUGACAUUUUAAUUUACAGCAUUGAUCCUAGGAUGCACCUACAACAUCUUCGGGAAGUUUUGGUCGUGUUACGUAAGGAACAAUUCUUUGCAGCAAAAGGAAAAUGUGUGUUCUUAACUAACCGAGUCUUGUUCUUGGGUUACAUUAUCUCUUCUGAGGGGCUUUUAGUAGACGACUAAAAAAUUAAAGCCAUCAAACAGUGGCGACAACCGUAAACCGUGACUGAUGUCCGAAGCUUUCACGGGUUGGCAUCAUUCUAUCGCCGAUUCAUUCCUCACUUCAGUGGUAUAAUGGCCCCAGUGACUGAUUGUAUAAAGAACAAUAGCAAGUUUGUGUGGACACCUGAGGCCGAAAUAGCCUUCUAAGAAAUCAAGAAACAAUUGACCACCGCCCCAGUACUUGUCCUAUCUGACUUUUCAAAUCCAUUUAAGCUACACGGUGACGCCUCAAAGCUAGGAAUCGGAGUGGUUCUAAGCCAAAAUGGCAGGCCUGUCGCCUUUUUCAGUGAGAAGCUUUCAGGAGCAAAAUUACGGUAUAACACCCAUGACGUUGAAUUUUAUGCAGUGGUUCAAGCGGUAAGACAAUGGCGACAAUAUCUAUUUCUUCAGGAGUUCGUCCUAUUUACUGACCAUGAUGCCCUCAAACAUAUGGGGAGUCAAGAUAAAAUUUCAUCCCGACAUGCAUCUUGGGCUGCGUACUUACAACAAUUCACUUUUGUCAUCAAACACAAAGCGGGUACACUGAACCGAGUGGCUAAUGCCGUCAGUCGUUGAAAAAAUCUGCUGGUUGACAUGCGAAUCAAAGUAUUGGGUUUCGACUCCUUUCAAAAUUUGUAUGCAUCUGAUUUUUUUGCUGCUGUAAUAGAGAAAAUUCAUAACAACCAACAGAGUGACUUUGUUCUCCACGAUGGAUUUGUUUUCAAAGGAACCCAACUGUGUAUACCUGAGUGUAGUCUCCGAAACAAGAUCAUACAAGAACUGCACAUAGAAGGACAUGUGGGAAGAGACUGGACUUACUUGCUGGUGGCUACGUCCUACUUCUGGCCAUCCAUACGGAAGGAGGUUGGUCAUUUUAUUGAGCGAUGUAGGGUCUGUCAUGUUGCUAAGGGAGGAGCCACCAAUGCCGGUUUGUACAUUCCACUUUCUGUUUCAGUACGACCAUGGUCCGACAUCAGCAUGGAUUUUGUUUUAGGCCUCCCGCGUACACAACAGGGAUUCGACUCCAUUUUUCAUAGUGGUAGACAGGUUUUCAAAAAUGGCCCACUUUAUACCAUGCAAGAAAACAACAGAUGCUGUUAAUGUGGCUGAAUUGUUCUUUUGAGAAAUUUAUCGGUUGCAUGGCUUGCCAGAGUCAAUCGUAUCUGAUAGGGACACUCAUUUCCUAAGCCAUUUCUGGCGGAGUCAGUGGAAGAUGGUUAAUACUCACCUGAACUUCAGCAGUGCUUAUCAUCCUUAGUUCGAUGGGCAAACCGAGGUGGUGAACCGGUCGUUAGGUAACCUCCUUCGCAAUUUGGUGGGUGAUCAGAUAAAAUCUUGGGACAAGAAACUUGGCCAGGCAGAGUUCGCUCAUAACCAUACAGUCAAUCGUAGCAGCAAGUUCAGCCCCUUUGAAAUCGUGUGUGGGUUUCUCCCACGAUGUCCACUUGACCUAGCUAAUCUCCCGAGCAACACCGCAACACCAAAGUUAAUCAUAAGGCAGAGGACUUUGUCACUCAGUUGCAGGACAUUCACAACCUUACCCGACAGAACUUGCUGGAAUCUUUUGCCAAAUUCAAACUCGACACAGACCGCAAGCGGCGUCUUGUCAAUUUUGAGGUGGGUGACUUCAUUUGGGCUAUGCUAACGAAGGAUCGUUUUCCUAUAGGCGAAUACAAUAAACUAUCAGCACAAAAGAUUGGUCCCGUGGAGAUUAUGGAGAAAAUAAAUUCCAAUGCUUACCACCUCAAGCUACCUAGUCAUAUUCGCACAGCAAAUGUAUUUAAUGUCAAGCACCUAAUUCCUUUCCACGAGGAUUUGUCAUCAGAAGAGGAAGAUUUCUUGAAUUCAUGGUCGAAUUCUUCUCAGCAUGGGGAGGAUGAUGCAGACCAGGUAGCAAACUCAUAUUUGGCGCGCCUAGAGCACCCAAAAAAGCAAAAGAGCUUGACAUUGAUGAGUCAUAACAUGCAUAAUCAGGCACUUUAAGUUUCUUACGUAACAGUUGGAAUUUCCUCCUGUUUCCUUAUUUAGCUUUGAUUCUCCCAAUUAUUUCAGGACUGUUUGUUUUAGAAGACUAAGAGUUUCUUUCCAUUUCGUCCUUUAUCUUUUAUUUCCACAUUAAUUCGGGACUGUUUGCCAAUUUAAUUGAGUAGUUUUAGGAGUCUAAGAGAUUCGUUUUCUCUAUUUAUUUGGAUGUAAUCGCUUUACGAUGGGCAGUUGGAAUAAAAACAAAAACUCCUUUGAGUAGUUAACUCAAAUAUCUCUCUUUCUUCUGUUUUUCUGCGGAAUUCCAGAUCAAAGAAACCCUUGUUUGUUAGAACGCGUGUGAGUUCCGUUCUAGUCUACAUCAAAUUGGUCCAGUCAAACUAUUGUGCGAAAGGUUCAAUGCCUUGAUCAUACUGAGGUUUCCAAUUUUAGGAGGAAUCUUCCCGGUGAAAUUGUUGCAUGAGAAAUCAAUUCUUAUGAAGUACCAGAUAUUGUCGCCUCUAUAAGAAAGGGAUACAUUCUUCGUGUAAACUCGAAGGAUUGUUGUGAUGAGGACAUAGAAUCAUGAGAAUUGUAUGAUUGUGGGAAAUGAUGAGUAGAUAUCAUCCAAGAGAGGAUGUUACCAGAAAGGUGAUUAUGAGAAAGAUCAAUCAAGGUCAAUUGGUCCAACCUGGAUAAUUGAAUUGGGAUUUCACCUUCAAGAUUGUUAUAACUCAAGAGUAGAAAUCUCAAGUUAGAUAGCCUGUCAAUCCAUUCUUGAAUUGUACCAGUUAAAUUAUUAUGGGAAAGAUCCAAUGCCAAUAUCUCAGGGUGGGUCAUAAAAUGCCAUUGUGAUCGGUCCUUGGAACUUAUUUCUAGACAAAUAAACAUAUCUCAAAUUUGAAGAAGUGUUGAAUCUAGGUGGUAAACGACCAGAGAAAUUGUUCCCUGAUAAGUCCAAGAAUUCAAGAGAAGACAUAUUUCAUAUCCAUCCAGAGAUCUGCCCUUGCAAACUGUUGUUCGAAAGUAUUCUUCCAGUCAAAAGAUUGUUGGAUAGGUCUAACUCAAACAGCGAGUAAGGAAUGCUUCCAUUGAAACCAUUAUCAGACAUCUUUAAGACUUCUAACCCUGGCAAACGAUCUCCGAUUUUUAAAGGGAUUUGGCCUUGAAAGUGAUUCAUGGAUAUCCUUAGGAAUGACAAAUUCACAUGAGAAUUCUUUGGCAACAAAAAUGGACCCGAAAGAGAACAAUUUUCUAAAUAAAGUCUUUGAAGGUAUGUGUUGUUCUCAAUCAACCAAUUUGAAAACUCUCCCUUUAUUUGGAUGUUUGCAAGAUCCAAAAAUUGCAGGCUGAACUGAUGGUAAAAGAACUUGGGUAAUGCUCCCGCAUCUUGUCCACGACCUCUCAAAUAGAGGGACUCUAACUGGAACUUUGGGCUCAGAUUAUGAUCAUCUUCUUCUGCGAAUAUUUCAUUACCUGAACUAUAAAAAGACUUGAUUUUUGAAAGGUUGUAUAAUGGGCUCAAUGACAUAGGAAUCUUGAAGUGAUUGGAAGAGAGAUAUAGUUGUUGAAGGGAAGUCAAAUUUGUCAGACACGAAGGCAAGACUCCACUAAGAUCAUUGUCACUCAUAUCUAGCUCUUGGAGAUGAUUUAAGUCACAUAGGCCUAGUUACAUUAUAAUAUAGAGAAAAUUAAAACUUUGAGUGUCUAAUGGAAAAUACAUAACCUAGAGAGAGAAUAAGAGUCAUCAACCUUACCUUGAGCUGUAGGUAUUUGGCCAUCUAGUUUGCAGCUCCCCAAAAUCAAAGUUUUGAGAGAAGUCAUUGUUUCGAUGGAUUGUAAGAUGUUGUUAUCAAGAGUAUUGGAACUCAAAUCUAAGUAUUCCAAGUUCUUGGGAUUAAGGAAGCCUGCUGCAAUCAAUUAAACAAGAAAUUAUAAUUGCGUAGAAGGAAUUAAUUAUAAAGGAAAUGAAAGAGCAAGAGUGAUCAACCUUACCUUGGGUUGUAGGUAUUUGGCCAUUUAGACUGCAAUCCUCCAAUUUCAAUAUUUUAAAAGAGGUCAUCGUUCUGAUGGUUUGGAAGAUGCUAUUAUUGAGAGUACUGUAACUCAAAUCCAAGUAUUCUAAGUUCUUGAGAUCAAGGAAGCCUAUCACGAUCAAUUAAAUAGAAAUUAUAUUAGCGUAGAAGGAAUUAAAAUUAGAAAUAACUCAUUACCUAUCAAUCAUGGCUAAAGAAACAAAAAAUAUCAGGUAAGUGUAGAAAUUGUACUGUCCAAUUAAUAGAAGGUUUUUUUUAUACGUUUGACCCAAAAAUAGAAAUACACCAUUGUUAAUUUAUUCUCCUCCUAAAAAUAACACUCUCUAUAUAUGAAGUUAUAUUGUUUUUUAUGUUAUCAUUUUAAUUACAUUACACUGAAAUGGUGUUGAGAGAGGGGCAAGAUUAAAGUGAAAUAUUAUUCAUAUUAAAUGGAUGGUAGAAUUUUAAAAUAAUAAAGAUUUCAAUUGAGUUAAUUUCUAAAUUUGAGAUUUAAUUGUCUCUCCAAGACUUGUUUAGUAGGUUGCUAAAACAUAAAAGAAGAAAUCUAUACGACACCUAAUUGUAGCAGGUAUAGAAAGAAAUAAAAUGAUCAAUGAUAAGUAAUAGUGGAGUUGAAAUUUGUUAAUUUACCUCCAGAAGGUACAGUGCUAUUAAGUUCUUGCAAUGACAGAUUUUUUAGAGAAGGCAGUGCUCGAAAGCUUUGAAGAGAGUGUUCAUCUAGAGAACAAGAGUCCAGAUACAAAUUUUUCAAAAAGCUCAAAUUUUGCAACUCUGUUUGUUCAAUAGUAGCAAAUUGAAUUUUUCAAUUAAACCCAAAUAUAUAAACAUCACUAUAUAUGUAAUAUAACUUACUAUCACCUAAUAUUCUUCCUCUAAAAUCGUAGAAUCCCAGAUAAAGUGUUGUGAGGUUUGGGAAUGCUCCUAAUGAUUGCAAUAACUGGAAGCUACUUCCAUAGGUUAUGAUAUUCUCUAGCCAUAGAGUCCUCAAGUUGCUUGGACCUGCAAGUUAGUUAUGGAAGAAACAAGAAUAAUUAAUAUUAUCUUCAUGAUGCUACCAACAGGUAGGUAAUGUGAAUGUGUUACUAAUUACCUCUUGAGGCUACCAACUUGUUAAUAUUGUUGCCGCCCAGACCCAAUUCCUCCAAGCUAGUUAGAGAUUCUUGAUAUUUAUAUAUAAAAAAAUAAAUUAAUACAAUACUCAUUAAUUGUGUUUUUGAAAUUAAAUUUAAUAGAUAAUUGUGUUAAUUAAAUUUAAUAUUUAUAAAAAUAAUAGUAUAUAAAAAAACUAACCUUUCAAAUCUAUUAACCCCUCCAGUCUAUUAUAAUCUAAAUAUAGUGAUUUAAGAAACGGAAGCCCUUCCACAAAUAAUAGAAUACUGUUAUCGAAGCUAUUAUAUUCCAAGGCAAGGAACUCCAAAUUGCUCAAUUUCUGUAACUCAUAACCACCAAUAUAAAUAAAUAAAUAAAUAAAGACUUUAGGUAUAGAAUAAAAAAGAUAUUAUUGGAGUAAUUUAAUUAUGAUUGAUUAAGAGGCAUGUAAUUGUUACAGUGAAGGUUGAGGUGGUGAAAGUGAAAAUAAAAAGAGUAAUUGUUAAAGUGACGGUCUAUGUCUAUGUCAUGAUUAUAAUAAAAUUGGCAAUUUAAUAAUAUAUGUUGUGGAAUUAAACAACACCUUGUUACUAGAUAUGAUUUCUAUUUCUUCGAUGAUGAAUUACUGUAGAGAACUAAAAUUAAUGAUAGUAAUUAAACAACACCUUAUUUGAUUAAUUCUAAAAAAAUAAAAGUAAUAUAAAUAUUUUGUAAUACUUAAGAGAGCAAACCUUUCUUCUCAACCCAACCAGCUAUGCGAUUAUUCGACAAGGAGAGAACGUUGAGUUGUUGAAAAGGAAGAAACAAGGAGGCAUUCAAGUACCAAUCUCCCAGUUCCGGAUUCCAUACGCCCCCAAGACCGAGUUCGGUGACUCGACCUGUACUGCUGUUGCACUCAAUAAGUUCCCAAGAACAACAGUUGGCGUCUGCUUUCAUCCAGGAGGGAAGGGAGGUGCCAUUGGGAUAGUUAAGAGAAUCUUUGAGCUGCAAGAGAGCGAUCCUCUCUUCCUCCAAGCAACCAAGAGGCACCCAUCCUUGCAGCGAAACCGUUAUCACUAACACCGUGAACACCUGAAGGAACAGCCCCAUCUUAUUAAUAUCAACUAUUACAAUAUUAAUUGUUGCCAAUGGCAGCGAGGAGGUUAAGGCUUUUAUAGAGGACUUCACGGACCCAUGCCGUGCAAAAAACUGCAUAGUUGUUUUAAAGAAUUCCAUAUCAUAAUGAAAACAAUAUAUCUCAGUAAUUUGUAAAAAUAUCUUAAUGAAUAAAUAUAUAUCCACUUCAUAGUCUCUCUUGUUUUUUUCUUAAUUUUUCAUUAAUUUGGCCAAUAUAUAUUAAUAAGAGAAAUCCUACUAAUACAUAUUUUUGUUUUUGCUGUGAAUAAAUUUAGAUAUCCAACGCUGUUGUUGUUGUAGUCAAUUUUUCCAUCUAAACUGCGGUAAAGGUUGAUCAUCACAAAUGUUCAUCAUUCUUUAUAGUAUUCCAUUUUAAUUUUAACAAGGUUCAAGAUGAAUCUUUACUGAUUGAUUUGAUUCCGUGUUUUUUUCCCCUACUAAACGCUAACUUUUUAGUAUAUUUUUCCUGCUGAAUACUUUUUUUUUUUUUAGUUUUAACAAACUAAAAGGUUGUUUGGGAAUAAUUUUGAAAUUAUAUUUUUUUUUAAAAUAAUUUUUUUAUUUAAAAUUAUUUUUUAAGUUUUUUUUAUCCGAUAUAUUGAUGUUAAAAAUAUUUUUUUAAAAAAUAUUUUAUAAAUCAACUUCUUUUAUUUUAUUUUAGUACAUAAUUCAUAAUAACUGAAUUGAUUCAUUUAACAUUUAUCUUUAAUAUAUGUAUUCUCUUUGUUUCUUUUUAUAAUAAUCUUAAUCUGAAUAUCUUUUUAGGAAAAAAUACUUAUGGAAAAAUGCAUGAUGGCACCAUCCACCGGACCCAUCUUGAAGAAAAAUGGAUGAUGGAAAUGGUCUAACGGACCCAACUCAUGGAAAAAUGCAUGAUGGCAACUUCCAACGGGCCCAUCUUGUGAAAAAGAAGAAGCAGGUUGGCAUAGGACGGCAGUGUCCUCUUCAUCACAUUUGUUUUCGUUUUGAUAUUACCCUGAUUAUUUUUUACAUUCUAAAAGUAUUUUUUAAAAAUAAAUUUUAUUUUAUUUUUUGAUGUUCUUAUAUUAUUUUAAUAUAUAAAUGUUAAAAAUUAUUUUUAAAAAAUAAAAAAAUAUUAUUUAAAUAUAUUUCCAAACUAAAAAUACUUUAAAAACCAACUAUUAUCAUACUCCCAAACACUCCUAAGUAUUGCUUACAUUGAAAUUUUUUUUCCUUUGUCAAGACUUUACUGAUUAUUCUUUUAUAUAUUAUUGUAAAUGAAUUGUUUAAAAAUUUAAUUUUUUUAAUUUUUUUUUGACAAUUUAGUUUUAAUUAAACUUUAAUUGAUUUUAAAUUUUUAUAAAAAGAUAAAAUAAAAAAAUAAAAAAGAUAUAAGUGUCAUGCUAUAAAUUUUGCAAAGGAUGUAUUUUCCCAUACUAAAAACAAUAAAAAGUGAAAGUAAUUGAUGUAAUGACAUAGCAACCAUAAACAUUUGGAUGAUCAAAAUAAAAAUAACUCAUUUUUAAGCUAUAAUUGUUCAUUCGGUCACCUGUUCAAGUACAUAUAGAAAAUGAUAAUUUUACUGUACAAAUUUUUAGCACCUCGUCGUACUUUUCAUGAUAAUUAUUCUCAAGCUUAUGGGGCAAUAAUCUCACGAACUCAUCUUAUCUCGUAGAAAAAAAACUCUUGAAAAGCCCCCGCUGUAUAAAAACCCUUGAAACCAAAUGAAACUGUAUAAAUUAAUACAACAUGAGCAUGCAUUGAAACUUGUUUAAAUCUUAAAACUAGAAUACACAACGAUGCACCAAAGUCUUGGUACCAUCAAGGCUAUGAAAACCCAAACUUGUAUAAAAUGGAAAGAUUGUCCACUAGAAAAUAAUAGCAAUUGUUGAUGCUCACCUCAAUAAAGUGAAACCAAGCUCGUCGCCAAUAUGGAUUUAUGUAUAGAACUGCACCUAUCACCAGCAGUACCAUGAUGUAUACAACCCAAAAGGUCACAUAGAAAACCUCCAUAUCCAUAAAGCCACUAUUAUCUUCAUUGUUCGUUGAAGUUGGCGUUGGUGAUGGUGGCAUAGCCGCACCACAUAUUUUGGGUAGCGGUUCUCCACAAAGAAAAGGGUUGUCCUUGUAGCACCUCUCAUCAAACGUGGCAAACUGUGCAACUCUCGCAGGAGUCUUACCAGAUAAAUUAUUAUGAGCCACACUAAAAACUUCUAGAGAAAAUAGUUCAGGAAGUCGAGGUGGGAUUUCUCCAUCCAAUUUGUUGUAGGAAAGAUCCAAGCUCUCUAUUUCCUUUAAGUUUGAAAAUGUUGGUGGAAUUGGUCCAGUCAAACUGUUGUGCGAAAGGUUCAACGCCUUGAUCUUGUUGAGGUUUCCAAUUUCAGGAGGAAUCUCUCCUGUGAAAUUGUUGCAUGAGAAAUCAAUUCCUGUUAAGUACUGGAUAAUGCUUCCUCUAUAAGAAAGGGAUACAUUCUUCGUUGUAAACUCAAAAGAUUGGUGUGAUGAGGAUUCAUAACCAUAAGAAUUGUAUUGUUGAGGGAAAGGAUGAGUAGAUAUCAUCCAAAAGAGGAUGUUACCAGAAAGGUGAUUGUGAGAAAGAUCAAUCAAGGUUAAGUGGUCCAAUCUGGAUAAUUGAAUUGGGAUUUCACCUUCAAGAUUGUUAUAACUCAAGAGUAAAAAUCUCAAGUUCGAUAGCCUGCCAAUCCAUUCUGGAAUUGUACCAGUUAAAUUAUUAUGGGAAAGAUCUAAUGCGAAUAUCUCAAAGGAGUCAUAAAAUGCCAUUGCGAUCGGCCCUUGCAACUUAUUUCUAGACAAAAAAAUAUAUCUCAAAUUUGAAGAAGAGCUGAAUCUAGGUGGUAAACGACCAGAGAAAUUGUUCCCUGAUAAGUUCAAGAAUUCAAGAGAAGACAUAUUCCCAAUCCAUCCAGGGAUUUGCCCUUGCAAAUUGUUGUUUGACAGGUCGAAUGCUUGCAGCGAGCUAAUGUUACCCAACGAGAAAGGAAUGCUUCCAUUGAAACCAUUGUCAGACAUAAAUAAAACUUCUAACCCUGGCAAACGAGCUUCGAUUUCUGAAGGGAUUUGGCCUUGGAAGUGAUUCAUGGAUAUACUUAGGAAUGAUAAAUUCACAUGAGAAUUCUUUGGCAACAAGAAUGGACCCGAAAGAGAACAGUUUUCUAAAUGAAGUUCUUGUAGGUAUGUGUUGUUCUCAAUCAACCAAUUUGGAAACUCUCCCUUUAUUUGGAUGUUUGUAAGAUCCAAAGAUUGCAGGUUCACUUGGUGGUAAAGGAACUUGGGAAAUGCUCCUACACUUUGUCCACGACUGCUCAAAUAAAGGGACUCUAACUGGAACUUUGGGCUCAUACUAUGAUGAUCUUCUUCUGCAUAUAUUUCAUUACCUGAACCAUAAAAAGACUUGAGUUUUGAAAGGUUGUAUAAUGGGCUCAUUGACAUAGGGAUCUUCAAGUGAUUGGAAGAGAGAUCUAGUAGUUGAAGGGAAGUCAAAUUUGCCAGCCACGGAGGCAAGAAACCACUAAGAUCAUUGUCGUCUAUAUAUAGCACUUGGAGAUGAUUUAAGUCACAUAGGCCUGAUCACAUUAUAAUUUAAGGAAAAUUAAAACUUUGAGUGUCUAUUGAAAAUAUACAACCUAUAAAGAAAAAGAGAGUAAGAGUCAUCAACCUUACCGAUGGUUUGAAAAAUACUAUUGUUGAGAGCAUUAUAGCUCAAAUCCAAGUAUUUUAGGUUCCUGAGAUGAAGAAAGCCUGCCAGAAUUAAGAAAUUAUAUUAACAUAGAAAGAAUUAAAAUUAUAAAGGAAAUGAAAGAGUUAGCCGGAAGCAGUUUAUAGAAUGAAUAAUAAGUAUCUCAAUUGAAUUGAUUUCUAAAUUUGAAAUUUAAUUCUCUCUUAUUGGUCAAUUUGCUCUAGCAAGCAAAUUGCUAAUAAGUUGCUAGUUCCAGUAGUGGACAUCACGUGGUUCUAGUCAGGUUCUAGUCAAUUAUUGGUUGAGUAAUGUAUUUUUUAUGCUUUUUUCCUUAUGUUUUGUGAGUUUUUUUUUAAUUGACUCAUAAUUAGUUCCUAAUUUUUUUUAAUUUUCCAGAUUAAUAUUAAAAAAGAAAGGCUAUACAAAUAAAAUAAAAGUUCAAGUUUAAAAUAUUAUAAUUUAAUCCACCUAUAUCACACUAUUAUUUUUUCCAUAAUUGUUUUUUAGAAAAAGCCAUAAUUUGUUGACAUGUAAGGAAAUUAUAAGUGAAACUAUCAAAAUUGAUAUUCUUAAUUCCAUAUAUUUUUUUAGAGAAUGCUUUAUUGGCGAGAUGUUUCUUUGGUAGAAUUCAAGAUGGUCAUAAUUCCGGUCAAGUAAAUAUUUUAUCAGCUAAGGAAAAUGGGUUAUAUAUUCUUUAUCUACAUUAAAUUGAUAUUCUUUAGAGAAAAUAAAUCUCUUCACGACAUUAAUGAGUGUUAUUAACAUUCUUCCUUAAUUCUUUCUCUUUCUAUAGAUUGAUAAGACUUGGACCGUUCUUUCUCUCUAGAUUGCUUUUUAUAUGUCAUAGUAAAUUUAGAAAAUAAUAUUCUUUAUUUUAUAAUUUCAUAUUUUGUAAUCUAUCAUUUUCAAGAUAUUUAAAACACUCAAGUUGUCUUUUUUUAUGGUUUUGAAAAUAAUAAUAUCUUAUAAUAUCAAUCUAUCAGUGUAAAUUAUUUUGAUUGAGUCCACAUAUAAGAAGAUAAAAAAAAAGUCCACGUGUAUAUAAACAAAGUCUCCCGUGAUUUCUUUGUUCAACUCUCCUAAGAGGUUAUUAAAUACAAUAAUUCUUUACUAAUGAAUUAUGGCUAAAGAAAACUAAAAAAUGGGAAGGGAAGUGUAGAAAUUGUAGAGUCCAAUUAAAACAAGGAUUUUUGAUACGUCUGACAAAAAAAAAAAAAAAAACAUCAUUGUUAAUUUAUUCUCCUCCUAAAAAUAAUACUCUCAAUAUAAAAAGUUAUUUUUUCAUUAAUGUUUUUUUAUAUUAUCAUUAUGUUUACAUUACAUUAAGAAAGGAUCAAAAUGGAAUUGAAAUAUAGUUAAUAUUAAAUGGAUGGUAGACUUUUAGAAUAAUGAAGAUUUCAAUUGAGUUAAUUUAUAAACUUGAGAUUUAAUUGUCUAUCCAAGACUUAAUUUAGUGGGUUGCUAAAACAUAAAAGAUGAAUUCUAUAUAGACAAAUCUAAUUGUAGCGGGCAUAAAAAAAAAAACAGAAUGGUUAAUUUACCUUCAGAAAGUACAGUGCUGCUGAGAGCAUACAAUGAUAGAUUUUUUAGAGAAGGCAGUGCUCCAAGGCUUUGAAGGGAGUGUUCAUCUAGAGAACACUGAUCUAGAUACAAAUUUUCCAAUGAGCUUAAAUUUUGCAACUCUGUUUGUUCAAAAGUAGCAAAUUGAAUUUUUGAAUUAAUCCCAAAUAUAUAAACAUCACUAUAUGUAAAAUAUAUAACUUACUAUCAUCUAAUAUUCUUCCUCUAAAAUCAUUUUCUUCCAGGUGAAGUGUCGUGAGGUUUGGAAAUGCUCGUAAUGAUUGCAGUAACUGGAAGCUACUUUUAUAGGUUGUGAUAUUUUGUAGCCAUAGAGUUCUCAAGUUGCUUGGACCUGCAAGUUAGUUAAGGAAGAAACAUAUGAUUAAUAUUGUAUAGAUAAUAUCUUCAUGAUGCUACUAGCCAGGUAAGUAAUGUGCAUGUGUUACUAAUUACCUCUUGAGGCUACCAAUUUGUUAAUAUUGUUGCCGCCCAAACUCAAUGCCUCCAAGCUGCUCAGAGAUUCUUGAUAUUUAUAAAAAUAAUAGUUAAUUAAUUCACUACAUCAUAUAAAUUGUGUUUUUUUAAUUGAAUUUAAUAGAGAAAAGAUAAGUAUAUAAAAAAACUAACCUUUCAAAUCUAUUAUUCCCUCCAGUCUAUUAUGACCUAAAUAUAAUGCUUUAAGAGAUGAAAACUCCUUCACAAAUGAUAAAAUACUAUUAUCGAAGCGAUUAGAUUCAAAGUCAAGGAUUUCCAAAUUGCUCAAUCUUGAUAACUCAUAACCACCUAUAUAAAAAAUAAAUAAAUUAAGACUUCAUGUAAGAAAAAAAAAAGAUAUCAUUGGAGUAAUUUAAUUAUGAUCGAUGAAGAGGCAUGUAAUUGUUAUAGUGAAUCCAUGUAAAGAGGUUGAGGCGGUGAAAGUGAAAGUAAGAGAAGUAAUUGUUUCACUGAUGAUGUCAUGAUUAUAAUGAUUUCUAUUUCUUCGAUGAUGAAUUACUGUAGAGAACCAAAAUGAAUGAUAGUAAUUAAACAACACCUGAUUUGAUUAAUUAUAAAAAAAUAAAACUAAUAUAAAUAUUUUGUAAUACUUAAGAGAGCAAACCUUUGUUCUCAACCCAACCAGCUAUACGAUUACCGUACAAGUAGACACCGUUGAGUUGUUGGAAAGGAAGAAACAAGGAGGCAUUUAAGUACCAAUCUCCCAGCUCCUGGUUCCUUGUGCUCCCAAAGAUAGAGAAAGGUGACUCGACCUGUACUGCUGUUGCAGGUAAUAUGUUCCCAAUCACAGCAGUUGGCGUGGGCUAUUCUCCAGGAGGGAAGGGAGGUGCCGUUGGGAUAGUUAAGAGAAUCUUUGAGGUGCAACAGAGCGAUCCUCUCUUCCUCCAAGCAACCACGAGGCAGCCAUCCUUGCAGCGAAACCGUUAUCACUAACACCGUGAACACCUGAAGGAACAGACCCAUCUUAUUAAUAUCAACUAUUACAAAAUUAAUUGUUGCGAAUGGCAGCGAGGAGGUUAAGGCUUUUAUAGAGGACUUCACGG